GUAGGUGAACCUGCGGAAGGAUCAUUACCGAGCGAGAGUUCUCUGAAUUCAACCUCCCACCCGUGUUUAUUGUACCUUGUUGCUUCGGCGGGCCCGCCUCACGGCCGCCGAAGACACCUUGAACCCUGUACGAAAAUUGCAGUCUGAGUCUAAAUAUAAAUUAUUUAAAACUUUCAACGACAGAUCUCUUGGUUCUG
rnacentral:misc_RNA from 1 species